rnacentral:rRNA from 1 species
UACAGAGGUCUCAAGCGUUGUUCGGAUUCAUUGGGCGUAAAGGGUGUGUAGGUGGCGCGCUAAGUCGGGUGUGAAAUUUCGGAGCUUAACUCCGAAACUGCAUUCGAUACUGGCGUGCUUGAGGACUGGAGAGGAGACUGGAAUUCAUGGUGUAGCAGUGAAAUGCGUAGAGAUCAUGAGGAAGACCAGUGGCGAAGGCGGCAUCCUGGACCGGCAUUGACGCUGAGGCGCGAAAGCCAGGGGAGCAAACGGG